rnacentral:lncRNA from 1 species
GGAAAAGUGUGAUCUUCCAAAUCCUCCACAGACAUCGCCAGAUCUGAAGUUCCCAGAAAAGAGACUGGUGUGUGCUAAGGCAUAAAGGUGUGAAAUAGCAUUUGCGGCAUAUGCACUUGGAAAGCAGUAACCUCCAAAUAAUAUGUUCUUAUAAAGUGUGAGGCUGGAAAUGAUAAGAGAUGAGGCCAAGGAGUCAGGCCACGUCUCACCCACCUGCCAAGAAGCAGAUAUUGCCUAACAGACUGUGGAUUCUUGCUCAUUGGCCAAGUCAACAGCCUAAAGGACCUUACUCUCAAAAAUUUAGGUAAAAGUUAAUCUUUGACUUAGAGGGACAACAUUU